GACGAACGCUGGCGGCGUGCUUAACACAUGCAAGUCGAACGGAAAGGCCCUGCUUUUGUGGGGUGCUCGAGUGGCGAACGGGUGAGUAACACGUGAGUAACCUGCCCUUGACUUUGGGAUAACUUCAGGAAACUGGGGCUAAUACCGGAUAGGAGCUCCUGCUGCAUGGUGGGGGUUGGAAAGUUUCGGCGGUUGGGGAUGGACUCGCGGCUUAUCAGCUUGUUGGUGGGGUAGUGGCUUACCAAGGCUUUGACGGGUAGCCGGCCUGAGAGGGUGACCGGCCACAUUGGGACUGAGAUACGGCACAGACUCCUACGGGAGGCAGCAGUGGGGAAUAUUGCACAAUGGGCGGAAGCCCGAUGCAGCAACGCCGCGUGCGGGAUGACGGCCUUCGGGUUGUAAACCGCUUUCGCCUGUGACGAAGCGUGAGUGACGGUAAUGGGUAAAGAAGCACCGGCUAACUACGUG
rnacentral:rRNA from 1 species